UCUAGAUUGAAAAAGACACAAACUAUUUCUUCACAUAUAAAAAUAACCCAUCAUUGUUUUCUUAUGCCCAUCUAUAUCUGCUGCUGAAGUGUUUGUAGAAGCUGUACAGUUUUUUGCUGGAAGAAAAGAGGAGAUAUGGGGCUGCCCAAGUUUUAUCUCCUACCUUUGUUGCUUCUGAUUGUUGUUUUUGCAUCGAAGAAAUCUUCAGCUGUUGAAGCAAGGCCACUUUCCAUCUUGCCACAACAAGGACAUGCAAAGGUUUUUUCAACACUUGGAAUUGCUUGCGAGUGCUGUGAUGGAGCUGGAGGUGAAUGCACAAGUACAUGGACUGAGCCUUGCACUAGGCUCAAAUGUCUUCCUUGGAAACAUUAUUAAUAGCUGAAGACUUCUUUUUCUUCUUCUCUUUCCAUUUGUAAAUAAAAAUACCUUACAUAUAUAUAUAUUCUCUAAAGCGGACGUUGGGACGCUAUGUAAUGUAUUUUCUACUAUUUCUCUUGCUCUUUUCUUGUUUACAAUAGCAUUCACAAAUUAUUAGUAUGUGGACAUUCGGAUGAGAGAAUAAAUAUAUAUACACUAGUGGAAUUAUAUUAGUU